CUCUCUCUCUCUCUGAUAUUCAUCUCUCAUAACCCUAGAUGGUUCUCUCCCAAAGUUCAAACCUUUUCUUUGAGGAUUCAUAUAUCCUAUAGCCUGGAUAAUCUUAUGUGAUUCACUCAUGUACUCGGAUCUAUAUAUCUCCUAUAGCCCAGAGAAACAUAUUUGUAAGUUUCUUUCUUUCUUUCUUUGAACCUUUAUACAUAUAAUCAGAUCAAUUAGCCAAGAUAAUAUUGAUCAAUUAGCCAAGAUAAUAUUGGUUGUAAGUUUCGUUCUUUGAACCUUUAUACAUAUAAUCAGAUCUAUUUCUUUCAGAUCUAUUUCUCCUAUAGGCAAGAUAAUAUUAGUUGAAAGUUUCGUUCUUUGAACCUUUAUACAUAUAAUCAGAUCUAUUUCUUUGAAAGUUUCGUUCUUUGAACCUUUAUACAUAUAAUCAGAUCUAUUAGCCAAGAUAAUAUUGGUUGUAAGUUUUGUUUCUUUGAACCUUUAAACACAUAAUCAGAUCUAUUUCUCCUAUA